rnacentral:rRNA from 1 species
GAUGAACGCUGGCGGCGUGCCUAAUACAUGCAAGUCGAGCGAACAGACGAGGAGCUUGCUCCUCUGACGUUAGCGGCGGACGGGAGAGUAACACGUGGAUAACCUACCUAUAAGACUGGGAUAACUUCGGGAAACCGGAGCUAAUACCGGAUAAUAUAUUGAACCGCAUGGUUCAAUAGUGAAAGACGGUUUUGCUGUCACUUAUAGAUGGAUCCGCGCCGCAUUAGCUAGUUGGUAAGGUAACGGCUUACCAAGGCAACGAUGCGUAGCCGACCUGAGAGGGUGAUCGGCCACACUGGAACUGAGACACGGUCCAGACUCCUACGGGAGGCAGCAGUAGGGAAUCUUCCGCAAUGGGCGAAAGCCUGACGGAGCAACGCCGCGUGAGUGAUGAAGGUCUUCGGAUCGUAAAACUCUGUUAUUAGGGAAGAACAAAUGUGUAAGUAACUAUGCACGUCUUGACGGUACCUAAUCAGAAAGCCACGGCUAACUACGUG